GACACGUUGGUGGCACAAAAAGUACUCUGAUCUCCAUUCUUUUUGUGUAAACUGCAGCAGCUCAUUCUGCUAGAUGCCAAGAGAGGUAGCUGCCCAUUAAACAGAAAGACAAUCAAAAAAGAAGGAAUGGAUAUAUGUAUAAACACAGUGCCUACCUAAAAAUUAGGUACUAUUAGCAAAAUAUUUACUACCAAAUUGGUAGGAGAUAUUGUUUAAUGGGUGGCGCAGGAAGUUUCUUUUUAAAAUCCUGUGAUUAGGAUUACUCAGGCCUGGCGCGGUGGCUCACGCCUGUAAUCCCAGCAUUUGGGGAGGUUGACGUGAGCGGAUUGCUUGAGCCCAGGAGUUUGAGACCAACCUGGGCAACAUGGUGAGACCCCAUCUCUACAAAAAAUGUAAAACAAUAGCCUAGUGUGGUGAUGCAUGCCUGUGGUCCCAGUUACUUGGAAAGCUGAGACGAGAGGAUCACUUGAGCCUGGGAGGUCAAAGCUGCAGUGAGCCGUGAGCUAACCACUGUACUUCAGCCUGGGUGACAGAGCAAAAGAAACAAAAAGAAAAAGGAGUACGCAGCUCUGCUCUGAAAUCUCUUCGUGGAGCCUGUUCUUGUCCUCCUGUCUUCCCACAGCUUCUUCAUUUGGCGGGACCUACUCCCUUCCAGCCGAAUCAGUCUCAGGAAAGGACCUGAAACGGAGCUGGUUGCUUCUCUGCUGUGCUUAUCUAGAAUUCCCUAUUGUACAUUUACUACAUUGUUUCAUAAUAAUCUCUUACAUUCUCCUAUAUGUGACUACAACAAUGUUAAAGCAGUGGAAAUUCCAGAGCAUCUUUGUGAGGCAUAAGACCUCUCAGCUGCACAACAGAAGCUGACGUCGUCCUGAGAUGAGCACGUCAUCUUGGCACACCACCCCUACCGCCACCCACACCCCAGGUGAGCCGGGUUGAGGAGAGCCCAAGCCCGGGGCUCUGGGGUGCUCAGGAGCACCUCCGAGAGUGUCAGCCCCCGCAGGGGAGAGCUGCUCAAAUGGGAACACGCCUGACUUCUUUCUCCCUCCUCCUCCCUUCUCCUCCUCUGUACCAUCAGCCAGUGUGCUGACUCAGUUGCAGGCCAUGAUCUCUGCCUUGAUAGGUGAUGCAACUGAAAUGUGCCAAGGAGAAGCGCAGCUCUUCGCUAAAGCAAGCUUGCUUCCACUAAGUCCAAACCUUGUUUCCAAAUGGUGAAGAACAUACACCCACAGCGCCUUGUGUGAGCAUUUUUUAAAGUCAUACGAGGAAGACCUUUUAUACAUGCUUUGCAGUAACACUUUAUGUAAGGUCUAUUUUCAUCCCAGUUUAUAAAUGAAAAGGAAAAACAUGCAGAUGCCUAGGGCUAUUGAGUAACUUCCCCCAGGUCACAACGUUAGUGAAUGGUAGAACCCGAUUUAAAUCCAGGUAGCAUUCUUAACAAACAUACUAUAUCCACGUGUUAAACGUUAUAUUCUUGACCCUAAUCUGAGAUUAAAUAAGCCUAUUCCUGUAUCAAAUAUAAAAAAUACAGCCGUGUACAGUGGCUUAUGCCUGUAAUCCCAGCACUUUGGGAGGCCGAGGAGGGUGGAUUGCUUGAGGUCAAGAGUUCAAGACCAGCCUGGCCAACAUGGUGAAACCCCGUCUCUACUAAAAAUACAAAACUUAACUGGGCGUGGUGGCGGGUGCCUGUAAUCCCAGCUACUUGGGAGGCUGAGGCAGGAGAGUCAUUUGAACCUGGGAAGAGGUGAGAUUGCAGUCCAUCAAGAUAGCACUACUGCACUCCAGCCUGGGCAACAGAGUGAGACUCUGUCUCUAAAAAAAUAAAAAUAAAA
rnacentral:lncRNA from 1 species